rnacentral:lncRNA from 1 species
AUGAUUUGUUAUGCAUUUUAUUGUCAUGUAGUCCUCACACAUUGUGUGCAUCAGGGUAAUUGCAUCAAUGUGUUAUCCCCUACCUCAAGGGGAUUUUGUUUUGGAAAAAUAUUUAGGCUGUGUCCUCAGUCUUUCUCAGCCUGGGGUCUAGCUUACCUGUGUCAACAUGGUGACGGCGCCAGGUGUACUGACGACCCUUGUGUUAACAGGAUUGUGUGUCCACGUCACAGUGAUUCGUGGCAGGACGUGGAGAGUUGUGUGCGGUUCUCCUCCCAGCUGUGUGACCUGUCCGAGGCCUUCUCUAACUUCGAGGUGUACAACAUGAUCCGCCUGGGCCUCCACCAGGGCCCGGGGAGUCCAGCCUGGACAGAAAAUCUGGGGUUUGGCGUCCGUGAUUUCAACUUCAGCAGCCCCUCUGUCUUGGUCUCUCUGUCUGGAGAGAUGCUGGGAGUGGAGGUGCACUUACCUUGUUCUAGCAAAAGGGAGUGUCUUCCUCUGCAGAGUUGCUGUCCACUGUCAAAAUUUAUUGACCUCUGGGUCACCGUGACAGUAUAUGACCGGCAGAACCCCUCCGACUACAAGACGCAGAUUGGUUUGGUCCAGACGAUGGUGUAUGGGGCAGAGUUCUCAAACCUGGUCCCAGGACAUGACUACUGUGUCGUGGCUAACUUCUCCAUCAGUCCGGCCACCUUCCCCCAGGCCUCGUCUCCUCCCUCGGACCCCAGUUGUGUCCACCAUGCUGGCCCAGGACUAGGGUUGCAGCCAGUGUUGUUGGGGAUAGGAGUGUGUGCUGUACUCUUCUCUCCUCUCCUUGCUCUGGCUCUGUACCUGCUGAAACAAAAACGAGAUGUACCACACGUAAACAGACUCCCCAAGUCUCUAGCAUCUCUUCAGGCAUUCCUCCAGGACCUACCGGAGUCCCCUUCAGACCCUGUUGACCCCAGUGACAUUGUAGACGACCACCUCUCCAUCCUGUCCUCUUUCUCCAGCUGUGUCUACACCGAGGCCCAGGCCCCAAGCCUGGGUAAUGGGUACAACAGCAACCCCUUCCUCCGUGACUAUAGGUCAGGCAACAUGCACUGGAACACUGAGAGAAUGGAGCUGGACCUGAACUCAGGCAGCACCAUAUCCCUGCCAUGCUCCACUGUGCCUAUAGGCCUGCAUAUGAUCCAGUGCAGCUUUGAUUCACCUCGACAACCACAUCCAGGGCCCAAUGUGCCAGUUCUACCGUACCCUGGUUCUCUAUCUCUGUCAGAGGCCGUGGAGGGCCAGGUGGUCCCGUUGUGUUCUGUGAGGUUUGGGAGGGUGAGUGAUGGGUGUGAGAACCUUGAGGGACUACAGUGGUGUAACCUGUAG